GGCUCCGAGAGGUAUUUGAAUUGCAAAUUCAAAGAAGCAGCCGCAGACGCUGCCGGGGCUU
rnacentral:tRNA from 1 species